rnacentral:rRNA from 1 species
UACGGGGGGAGCAAGCGUUGUUCGGAUUUACUGGGCGUAAAGGGCGCGUAGGCGGCCACUGCAAGUCAGUGGGGAAAUCUCCGGGCUUAACCCGGAAAGGUCAACUGAUACUGCAGGGCUAGAGUGCAGAAGGGGCAACUGGAAUUCUCGGUGUAGCGGUGAAAUGCGUAGAUAUCGAGAGGAACACCUGCGGCGAAGGCGGGUUGCUGGGCUGACACUGACGCUGAUGUGCGAAAGCUAGGGGAGCGAACGGG